GGGUAAUUAGCUCAGUUAGGUAGAGCGGUGCAUGGUAUUUGUCAUGGUAUUAUUUAAAGGUUUCAUGCACAGGUCACGGCGUUCAAGUCCCGUAUUACCCA
rnacentral:tRNA from 1 species